GUCCGGGUAGCCUAGUGGUAAGGCGUCGGGCUGUGGACCCGAAGAUCGCGGGUUCGAAUCCCGCCCCGGACC
rnacentral:tRNA from 1 species